rnacentral:rRNA from 1 species
CAAUAGCGUAUAUUAAAGUUGUUGCAGUUAAAAAGCUCGUAGUUGGACCUUGGACCUGGACAGGCGGUCCGCCUCACGGCGUGUACUGUCUUGCUGGGUCUUUCCUCCUGGUGAUCUGUUGUUUCGGCAGCAGGGAACCAGGACUUUUACUUUGAAAAAAUUAGAGUGUUCAAAGCAGGCUCGACGCCGGAAUAUAUUAGCAUGGAAUAAUAAAAUAGGACGUGCGGUUCUAUUUUGUUGGUUUUUGGAAUCGCCGUAAUGAUUAAUAGGGACAGUCGGGGGCAUUAGUACUCACAUGCUAGAGGUGAAAUUCUUGGAUUUUGUGAAGACUAACUUCUGCGAAAGCAUUUGCCAAGGAUGUUUUCAUUAA